UCCCUGGUGGUCCAGUGGUAAAGACUCCACGCUGCCAAUGCAGUGGGCCCAGGUUCGAUCCCUGGUCAGGGAA